rnacentral:lncRNA from 10 species
GGGGGAUGCAGGCACACACGCCAGCCUGCGGGAGGAGGACAGCAGUUCUCAGAGGGGGUGACGCGUGAGCUGCAUUCUGAGGAGUGAGUAGGAGUUUGCCAGGAGGAGAGUGGGGGUAGCAGCGCUGGCAGGAGGAGCGGCUUGCGAAAGGGCUUGGCGGGAGAGGAAGAGAGAAGCUGAGUGUCGCGGAGGCUGAGAGGGAGGAGGGGUGAGUGGGUUGUGGUGGAGAUGAGGCUUCUGGAGGGCAGUUUGGAGCCAGAUUCUGAGGGCUAUAAAGCAGAGGAAUCAGGAGCCAGAUUUAUUAUUAUUAUUUUUUAGGGAGAUUGCUGCGCCACUGAUACAGAUUUAAAGUGACAGCCACAACGAAAUGUAGUACGGUGGAAAAAACAAUGGAGAAGGAGGCAGAAAAUGUGAGUUCUAGGACUGGAGCUACCGGUAACUAGAAGGUGACUUUGAACAAGUCAAUUGCCUGAUUUCAGUGAUUUCUGACUAUGAUUUCACUAAAAGCAACUGCAAGAAGAACUAUAUCAUCAACUAGCUAUAUCUUCUUUAAUUGAUUUUGGAAGGCACAAAGAAUAAGUUUCCAGAAAAAACAAGAACAUGAUCAUGGAUCUUUUUAAUACUAUCCCAUUGUUGUUUUCCAGUGGCCUCCUUGCCUUGAUAUUUAGCCCAUCAAAUCUCUGGGCACAAGGGACUGCUCUUUAUUCAAUCCUGUCAUAACUCUGCAAAACCUUCCCCUUCUGAUCUCCUCUCGGUUGUGAAUGAUCCCUGGAAAUACUUCGGGGAGUACUGGGAACUGACACCGGCAGAGCUGACCAAGACCUCCUGGCUCUCUGGAAUGGGAGUCACAGCAUAUAUCUGCAAAUCUAGGAUUCAAGAGUCAAGGAGAGAACCUGACUUGGCAAACUCCAUGGAAGUCUGGCUUGGGCUGAGCUAUGGCAGAGAGAAGAGGAUGGGUAACAAUCUUCUGUUUCCAUUUCAGUUGAAGUCAUUAAAAAAAUUACCAAGAAGACGCCAGGAACUCAGUUCUAGCAAAUCACUUCUCAAACUACAGGUCUUGAACUAGUUCUAGGGACAGGAUGCCAAGAGAUGAACAGCAAUGUUUUCAUAUAAAACUGCAGUGCCUGCCAGAGUCAACAUGAUGGACUGAAGUUAAAACAAGCUUUUUCUCUUUCGUUUUCAUGUUAGGAGAAGUAUCGAUGAACUGCUGACAUGAAAUACUGUGCCAAAAGGACAGAGUCAGUUCCUGCCAGUUGAAUAAAUUCCUUGUUGGGAUAUAAGGGAUUUUAUGAGCUGUUACAGGUUUAUGGUAUUAUCUCUUAAAUGGCUACCUCAAAAUUAAAAGGCAAUAUUGUACUCUUUUUUUUAAUGUAUAAAAACUGAUGAUCCUAUUUUAGAAACCCUGAAGAACUGAAGCACUCAGCAGGAUCUUGUGUAUUACAAGAUGACACAAACGUUCAUGUUGCUCAAGAGUAAGGACUUGGAGGGCAAGGAGGACUUGUUUGAACCUAAGAGCAAAGCAGAUAUAAAACAUUUGGUUCAGAGAAACAGAAUACUCAACUCCUUGAGCUCUUAGGUACUGAAACGUUGAUCUAAGUCCAGCAAAUAAAAACACAUUGCUGAAGCUAAAGAGAGGUGACACCUACAGAAUUUGGCCCUAAAUUAUUUAGAAAUAGGUCAGCCAUUCCUACAGAUUUGCAGAUUAUGGGACUAAGAAUGGUAUAUUGUUACAGAAACUUAUGUGUAAGUGGAAACUCUUCAAACAGGGUGGAGAUUUUCCACAAUAAACUAAAAGUGUUAAUCCUGGAUUAGAUUGUAUAUUUCAUAUGUGGUAUUUAAAACAGAUCAAGUGCUCACUUUUUUAUAUUAAAUAAAAGCAUUACACAAAUCAAUUUGCUAUUUCUCUAUAUAAAUAGCUAAGUAUGCUUCAGAGGAUUUAUCUUAAAAAGGGUUUCUGCAAGACCACAAAGUUAAUUUCAUAGAACCACACUGGAAAGCUAAUCACAAAGGGAGGCUAUGGCCUGAUCAGGAUGCAUCCAGGCACCUUACCCGCAUCUUGCUCAGGUUUCUGUAGUCAUAAUAACUCUCAUACUGCUCUGCAAUCUUCCG